rnacentral:ncRNA from 1 species
AGUUGGUAGAAGUGACCAUAAAAAUUUAUAUCAGAGCCUAAAAGUUAGGGAUUCAGCCUGAUGGCUUCUGAACGCUUUGCGUUCCUUGGCUUAUCUCUCCAGGGGGUGGGCCAUGAUUACUUUGAGUAAAUGCAAGUGUUCAAAGCAGGCAAGCGCUUGGAUUUUUCAGCAUGGAAUUAUAAAAAGGAUGAUGAUUUCAUUUUGUUGUUUUUUGAGACCAUAGUAAUGAUUAAUAGAGACGGCCAGGGGUAGAGUAAUCGGUUGUAAGAGGUAAAACUUUUAAAAAUUCUGAAGACUAACUACUGCGAGAGCAUGUCACGGACGAUUUCAUUAGUCAG